rnacentral:rRNA from 1 species
AACCAGGACUUUUACCUUGAGAAAAUUAGAGUGUUCAAAGCAGGCCUACGCCCGAAUACAUUAGCAUGGAAUAAUAAGAUAGGAUCUGGUUCUGUUUUAUUGGUUUGCAAACUGGAUAAUGAUUAACAGGGACAGUUGGGGGUAUUCAUAUUUAAUUGUCAGAGGUGAAAUUCUUGGAUUUAUGAAAGACUAACUACUGCGAAAGCAU